rnacentral:rRNA from 1 species
GACGAACGCUGGCGGCGUGCUUAACACAUGCAAGUCGAACGGAAAGGCCCUGCUUUUGUGGGGUGCUCGAGUGGCGAACGGGUGAGUAACACGUGAGUAACCUGCCCUUGACUUUGGGAUAACUUCAGGAAACUGGGGCUAAUAUCGGAUAGGAGCUCCUGCUGCAUGGUGGGGGUUGGAAAGUUUCGGCGGUUGGGGAUGGACUCGCGGCUUAUCAGCUUGUUGGUGGGGUAGUGGCUUACCAAGGCUUUGACGGGUAGCCGGCCUGAGAGGGUGACCGGCCACAUUGGGACUGAGAUACGGCCCAGACUCCUACGGGAGGCAGCAGUGGGGAAUAUUGCACAAUGGGCGGAAGCCUGAUGCAGCAACGCCGCGUGCGGGAUGACGGCCUUCGGGUUGUAAACCGCUUGCGCCUGUGACGAAGCGUGAGUGACGGUAAUGGGUAAAGAAGCACCGGCUAACUACGUG